CUUGUAAAAUAACUAAUAAUUAAUGUUAAUUUAAUAAUCAUUUUGUAAACUGGGAUCAUUCACAAAACUGGCCGAAAUCAUCUUCCCGCGCUCCGCAGUUUCCCGCGGAAUUUCCCCCCUCCCUGGCCAUGCAGGCCAGGGAGGUUAGUCAGUCACCAUCCAGCACUCGCCAAGGCAGGCAGCCCACGCACGGGGAGCUCUCAACUUUCGCGCCAACUUCACCAGUCACUACAAUAGUUCACCUUGCGCAGGUUCAUGACGGUGGGCGGGAUCUCGCUGGCCCAGGCGUACUUGCAGCGCGGGCAGCUGUGGCGCGCCUUCCAGUAGCGGUGCAUGAUGGACUGCAGGAUGGAGGCGAAGGGAGUGACGCCGAUGCCCGUCGCGAUCAGCACGGCGUGCUGCGCCCUGAAGAUGUGGCUGGAGGGCGCGCCGUACGGCCCGUCGAGCAGGAUCUGCAGCCACACGUCGAUACCCUGCAUCGCCUGGCGCGGCCACACGUCGCUACCCGGCACCGUCUGGUGCCACUUGCCAUGCUUCAUUGUUUGUAAACAUCUCUCAGAUAGGCUGAAAAUCUUUCUACAUAUUGAGAUUAGAACAUGCCAGAAUGGUUCAUUUUUUUUUAGAACCAAGAAAAACAAUGAAAAUAAUGUAGUGACAUUAAUUUAAAAGCAUGCAAGUUAAUAUCAAAAAUGUAUUAAUUCUAACCUUAUUUAAAAUAUCAAACACGGUAUUCCGGUUCCAACUCGGCUGAAGAAUUCAUAAAUGUAUAUGAACUACAACAUGUUAUCGUUAGAGGAUACCAGGAUACGUAAUGAACACACUGAUGCACUACACUGCAGGCCGCCUGUACGGGGCGAGCGAGGCGUACAGCAAGCAUCACAACAGAAGCAACACUGGCCACACCAUGCGACCCCCCUGGGGCAUGCGUCGACUCACCUCCGUGCCGUAACCCAGCUCCAGUGUUGGCAUAAGUACCACCUCCUCUCUGAUUGGCUACAAUCAAAACCAUCACUAUGAAGCGCACUACCAGCAUGAACGAAGCAAUAUUUACUCAUCACCUUUUUAUGCAUGUGCAAGAUAGAAGGGUAAGAGAUACCAAAAAUAAAAGUGGAAUAUACUUUAAACGAAAGUAUAAGAUUGCAGCUGAAGUCAAAGGCCCAAAGAAAACUGAUCUGCAGAAAAAUAAACUGAAAAAUAUGGGAAGAGUUAACAGAAAAACAGAUGGAAAAAAAUUUAAAUUGCACAGUUACACACAAACUAAAUGACAGGGGCCCUUCAAAAUUGCAGUAAGCACCAAACCAAAAAGUAAAUUUGAAUACGGAGAAAGAUAAAAAAAAGGCUCAUAAUGAGGGUUGAAAGAAAUGAUUUUGUUUGAAGUUAAACGGGGACUAAUUGGUUUGUGGUGUUGACUUGUGCAGUGUGAUGUUUGUAACUGUGCAAGAGGGUGCCAUGGUCAGAGUAAUGGUUGGAGGUCUAUUCUUCUGAAUACAACACGGUUGAAAGUCAAAUGGGAUUUUACCAAAUUGGAGAAAAAAUGUGAUUUAAUUAUUUAAAGACAAAAUUAGCUGUCUCAUUUAAUGGCAGAAGAGAUGAAAUUAAAACAACAAGGUGGUGUAAAAAACUACUGUAAACAAGAAGCAUGCACUUGGAGGAGGUAAUUUAAACUUUCAUGAUUUAAUAGAUGCAGCAUAUAUUUAACGUAAUUAUUUUUAUUAUUAUUGAAGCUGAAUAAAUAACAAUAACCUUUUGGAA